GUCUGGUUGUUAUUCUACUGGCUGUAAUUGUAAUGAACCAAACACGUUAAGUUGCUUAAAGAUUAUUUUUAAUUUACGUUUUUCGUUGCUU